rnacentral:rRNA from 1 species
UACGUAGGGGGCUAGCGUUGUCCGGAUUUAUUGGGCGUAAAGAGCGUGUAGGCGGCCAGGUAGGUCUGGUGUGAAAACUCGAGGCUUAACCUCGAGAUGUCAUCGGAAACCAUCUGGCUAGAGUCCGGAAGAGGAGAGUGGAAUUCCUGGUGUAGCGGUGAAAUGCGCAGAUAUCAGGAAGAACACCAUGCGGAAAGCAGCUCUCUGGGACGGUACUGACGCUGAGACGCGAAAGCGUGGGGAGCGAACAGG